ACCCCAUGGCUGUGGCACAAUGGGAUAGUACAUCUGGCUAUUAACCAGAAGGCUGGUGGUUCUAGCCCACCCAGGGAUG